rnacentral:ncRNA from 1 species
AGCUUUGCGCUCUGAGCUGGGGGUGGCCGCAGAGACCAGCGAGAAGCGACUGUUUACUAAAAACACAGGUCCGUGCGAAGCCGUAAGGCGAUGUAUACGGACUGACGCCUGCCCGGUGCUGGAACGUUAAGGGGACCGGUUAGCUCCAUUUCGGUGGGGCGAAGCUGAGAACUUAAGCGCCAGUAAACGGCGGUGGUAACUAUAACCAUCCGUAAGGUAGCGAAAUUCCUUGUCGGGUAAUUC